CAACUAUUCAACAUUUAUCAGUAAUCAUCUCAUUAAAAUGUAGUUGAAUAGAAAUUUUAUUUUAACAUUUAUAUUAAAAGUAAAUAAAAAAAAUUUUACCUCUCCCCCCACCCCGUUCACUGUCCCUCCACCGCCUUCCCCCAGCUCCGUCCCCCUCCGUAGUUCAAUUGGGCAAUGAUUUUCUUGAGAGUUGUAUCACUCUAAUUAUCGUUACUUGAGAGCAUUCAAGAUUUCAUUUUCGGCACAUACCGAAACUUUCAUUCAAACCUCCAAGAUUUCAUCUUCCUGUCUCUCCCAAAAACUUGUGGGUAGCAAGCAUCUGAGUUGAGCAUUUCAACUGUACAAAUAUGAACUACAAAACUCUACCCAAAAUCCAAUCCCAUCGAAAACCAAGCUGAGUCUAUUGACGAAGUGCAGCUGGUUGAAAAUUAGACUUGAAAAGUCACCAUCACACAAAUAUCCAAAAGCGCAGAGGAUCAAUCCUUCUUUCAUAAUAAAAAGUGAAACAAUUUUCUAACCAUCUCAAUCCCAUUGCUUAAUUACAAAGGAUACGUUCUAUCAUUGCCUCGCUUCUCAAGUCCCCGGCUCCAAACUGUAAACACCAGAUUAGGUUGGAGAUAUAUGUUGUUCCGAGUGACAAUGUCCAAUAUAUCGGCCCACUGCAGUCGGAGAUUCAAAUCAAUGAAUCAGAAGACUUGUUACAGGAUGACAAAGGCAGUCUAUGUAUGGAGAGAGAGGGAGGGGGUAAGAGGGAUAGGCAUGGGCUGGGGGGAGGCAGUGGCGGGACG
rnacentral:lncRNA from 1 species